rnacentral:sRNA from 1 species
UCUAUUAAAUAUGGUUUGUAAAGUUAGUAACUGACAGAUUGUGCCAAAUGUAAACUUUCAUGAUCAGAUGUUUAUUAUCUCUUUAUGUGGUAUUGCAAACUUACACUUAU